CCAGACGGCUGGAUGGUCGCCUUGGGCCUUGUGCCUGGGGAGGAAAGUCCGGGCUCCACGGAAAUACGGUGCCGGGUAACGCCCGGCGGGGGCGACCCUAGGGAAAGUGCCACAGAAAGCAAACCGCCGCGCCGGGUUUCGACCCGCCUCGGCAAGGGUGAAAGGGUGCGGUAAGAGCGCACCGCUCCCCCGGCGACGGGGGAGGCAUGGUAAACCCCACCGGGAGCAAGACCGAAUAGGGAUGACAGGCCGAUUUCGAAUCGGCAGGCGCAUUUCCGCGCUGUCGUCCGGGUGUGUCGCGCGAGGCGUCCGGUAACGGGCGUCCCAGACGAAUGGCCAUCCAUCGCUUCUCCGGAAGCGGGGACAGAACCCGGCUUACAGGCCGUCUGGCACC
rfam:Magnetospira sp. QH-2 chromosome, complete genome